rnacentral:rRNA from 1 species
UGCCUUACACAUGCAAGUCGAACGGCAGCAUGAUCUAGCUUGCUAGAUUGAUGGCGAGUGGCGAACGGGUGAGUAAUACAUCGGAACGUGCCCUGUAGUGGGGGAUAACUAGUCGAAAGAUUAGCUAAUACCGCAUACGACCUGAGGGUGAAAGUGGGGGACCGCAAGGCCUCAUGCUAUAGGAGCGGCCGAUGUCUGAUUAGCUAGUUGGUGAGGUAAAGGCUCACCAAGGCGACGAUCAGUAGCUGGUCUGAGAGGACGAUCAGCCACACUGGGACUGAGACACGGCCCAGACUCCUACGGGAGGCAGCAGUGGGGAAUUUUGGACAAUGGGCGAAAGCCUGAUCCAGCAAUGCCGCGUGUGUGAAGAAGGCCUUCGGGUUGUAAAGCACUUUUGUCCGGAAAGAAAUGGCUCUGGUUAAUACCUGGGGUCGAUGACGGUACCGGAAGAAUAAGGACCGGCUAACUACGUGCCAGCAGCCGCGGUAAUACGUAGGGUCCAAGCGUUAAUCGGAAUUACUGGGCGUAAAGCGUGCGCAGGCGGUUGUGCAAGACCGAUGUGAAAUCCCCGAGCUUAACUUGGGAAUUGCAUUGGUGACUGCACGGCUAGAGUGUGUCAGAGGGGGGUAGAAUUCCACGUGUAGCAGUGAAAUGCGUAGAGAUGUGGAGGAAUACCGAUGGCGAAGGCAGCCCCCUGGGAUAACACUGACGCUCAUGCACGAAAGCGUGGGGAGCAAACAGGAUUAGAUACCCUGGUAGUCCACGCCCUAAACGAUGUCAACUAGUUGUUGGGGAUUCAUUUCCUUAGUAACGUAGCUAACGCGUGAAGUUGACCGCCUGGGGAGUACGGUCGCAAGAUUAAAACUCA